UACCCUUUGUGGGAGUUUGGAAUGUCCAAAGCACAAAAAGUGCCUUGGAGUUGAGUCCGCGAGAGCAAAUGAGGCAAAUGGCAUCAUUGGGCAGAAGUUGCUCUCAGGGACCGGUCUCUUCAGGUGAGAGACCGGUUCCCCUGGCUGGUUGUAGCGGGGUUGCGCGAUGCAACCGGUCCCUGGCAGGGAGGGACCGGUUCCCGAACGUGGCCCCAGCGAGAGAAGCCAAAAAUUGGCUAAGUCCUGAAAAUCAAGCUCUCGGGGACCGGUCUCUCAGGUGAGGACCGGUCUCCCGAAGACCGGUCUCCCGGGGAGAGACCGGUUCCCGAAUGCGUGCGCCCGAGGGAAGCUCUCGGGGACCGGUCCCAAGUCGGGGAGACCGGUCCCUCCGCGCGAAAACAGCCCAGUGAGGGCUGUGCAAGGGGUUAAAAGUUGAGGGGUCUAAAUGCAAAAUGGCCUUUAUUAGAGUGGGCUGAGCCCUCUCUCUCCCUCACACUCUCUCAUUUCACUCUCUCACUCUCAUUUCUCUCUUGCUCUCUCUCUCUCUAGAAAGGAAAGAAGGAGAAGAAGAAGAAGAAGGAGAGGAAGGAAAAGAAGAGGAAGAUAAGGAAGAAGAAGAAGAAGGAGAUCAAGAGGAAGGCUCUGAGCACCUCCAUCUCCCUCUCCUCUUCCCAUUGGAGUAGCUCUUGAGGUAAGCUACUAAACCCUAGCUUCUAGAACUUAGGGUUUUUGGGUUUUAUGCCUUAGAAUGGGUCAAAUGGACCCUAAGCAAGCUUCUAAAUAGAUCAAUCCCAAGAAUCUAGGGAUUUAUGGGGUGAUUUGCUAUAGGUGCAAAUCUAGGGUUCCAAAAUGGGGUUUUUGUAAAAGUAUGAGAUUGAUCUCAUUUGAAGCCUUGGAAACCCUAUUGAUAGGUCCCAAAACGCGGGGGCGAAGUCGAUUUUGGCAUUCGGCGAACCGACGUGAAGUUCUCGGCAAAAUCGGGCCGGGCUAGUGUUGAUUCGGGCGAGGAAGGCUAAAGCCUAUUCGUAAAGCUCGCCGAGAAGAAUUUCCAAAGCCUCUACAUCGAUAAAAAGGUGGGGGGUGUCAUCCGAAACUUUCGAACUCCUUUCUAUGUCUUAGAUUGCAUUUAAUCUCAUCUCUUCAUGUUGCAUUGUAGGAUUGCAUAGUAGCUCCAUUCCUUAUGCUUUCUAAAUGAUAACCUAGUGUACUUGGAACGCUUGGUAACUAGAUAGGUGAGGAUUGGGUCGGAACGUGGAUCCUAUGAUGCUAGAGAUAGAGAUGAACCCGAUGGGGGUAUUGAUGACAUAGAAAGUAGUGUUAUUGUUAAAGAACCAACGAGUGGCAUCCGAACAUUUAAUGAUAACGAGUGGCAUUAAUGUAGUGUAAACGACACUAGAGGUCGAUGGACCUAGGGAUAGGUGGAUCCCUUAGAAAAUGCCUUGUGAACAAUGAAUUUAGACAACCUAAACAGCGUUGCAUAAUGGUCGGGAACAAAUGAUUCCGCGAGAGAUAUUGACCCUAGUGGUAGGGCUCCUCACUUGGAGAGGAUUCGAUUGGGUAUUAACUCUAGUUGUAGAGUGUCCUCGCUUGGAGAGGAUAGAUCUAGCUCACAGUCUGCGUUUAGGAUGGUAUAGCCAUCCAAUCCCCACAUGGAGGGGAUUGUCGUCGAGUACUCCGGAGUGUCGCGCGACUAGGACCACUUGGAGGUCUGGACCACAUGGAGGUCCGCAGACGGUCCCGGGCUUGGGUGCACUUGGAGCUCCCUCCCCACUUUGGGAUUGAAAGGUGAGUCAUGGGCGAGCCCUAGGGCCUCGCCACAGAUUGGGUAAAUGAAAAAGGUUUAUAAAUGUCAUUGAACAUUUCUAUUCGAACAUGGAUCGAAUUUGUUAGCAUGGUAGCAAACCUUUAUUAUAUGAUGCAUGCAUUCAUAUUCAUGAUUAUGGGCAUAGUAGCAUAGUUUUCCUACUACUGCAUUUACAGCUUUCAGAUACAUAUCUAUCUAUCUAUCUAUUUGUUGUUACUUGUGCCCACUUGGACCUAGUGGGGAGAUCGGCAGAGUCGGCGGCCGAGCCCACUGGGAACUAUGGAAGAUAGUUCUCACCCCACUCUAUUUCCAGUGGUAGGUUCAGG
rnacentral:lncRNA from 1 species